CCUACGGGAGGCAGCAGUGAGGAAUAUUGGUCAAUGGGCGCGAGCCUGAACCAGCCAAGUAGCGUGAAGGAUGACUGCCCUACGGGUUGUAAACUUCUUUUAUAAAGGCAUAAAGUGAGGCGCGUGUGCCUUUUUGUAUGUACUUUAUGAAUAAGGAACGGCUAGCGCCGUUCCAGCAGCCGCGGUAAUACGGAGGAUCAGAGCGUUAUCCGGAUUUAGUGGGUUUAAAGGGAGCGUAGAUGGGUUGUUAAGUCAGUUGUGAAAGUUUGCGGCUCAACCGUAAAAGUGCAAUUGAUACUGGCAGUCUUGAGUACAGUUGAGGUAAGCGGAAUUCGGGGUGUAGCGGUGAAAUGCUUAGAUAUCACGAAGAACACCGAUGGCGAAGGCAGAUUACUAGACUGCCACUGACAUUGAUGCUCGAAAGUGUGGGUAGCAAACAGGAUUAGAUACCCGUGUAGUC
rnacentral:rRNA from 1 species